rnacentral:rRNA from 1 species
AGAGACAGCAGCAGCCACGGUAAUACGUAGGUCCCGAGCGUUGUCCGGAUUUAUUGGGCGCAAAGCGAGCGCAGGCGGUUAGAUAAGUCUGAAGUUAAAGGCUGUGGCUUGACCAUAGUACGCUUUGGAAACUGUUUAACUUGAGUGCAAGAGGGGAGAGUGGAAUUCCAUGUGUAGCGGUGAAAUGCGUGGAUAUAUGGAGGAACACCGGUGGCGAAAGCGGCUCUCUGGCUUGUAACUGACGCUGAGGCUCGAAAGCGUGGGGCGCAAACAGGAUUAGAUACCCCAGUAGUCCCUGUCUCUUAUACA